rnacentral:tRNA from 1 species
GAGAGAGACAUAGAGGCUAUGGAGUUGGCUUGAAACCAGUUCUAGGAGGUUCGAUUCCUUCCUUUCUUA